AGUGGAUGGGGAGCAACCUAGUUGUGCGUGUGUAAAGGUAGUGCCAAGAAAAGCGAUGAUCAUGUUGAAAAUCAAUUCCCGGUACCCGAAACCGACACAGGUGGGCAAGUAGAGAAUACUAAGGGGCGCGAGGUAACUCUCUCCAAGGAACUCGGCAAAAUGACCCCGUAACUUAGGGAGAAGGGGUGCCACCGAGAGGUGGUCGCAGUGAAGAGGCCCAGGCGACUAUUUAGCAAAAACAUAGGUCUCUGCAAACUCGAAAGAGGAGGUAUAGGGGCUGACGCCUGCCCAGUGCCGGAAGGUUAAAGAAGUUGGUCAGUUUUAGGAUGAAGCUAGCGACUGAAGCCCCGGUGAACGGCGGCCGUAACUAUAACGGUCCUAAGGUAGCGAAAUUCCUUGUCGGGUAAGUUCCGACCCGCACGAAAGGCGUAACGAUCUGGGCGCUGUCUCGGAGAGAGGCUCGGCGAAAUAGGAUUGUCUGUGAAGAUACGGACUACCUGCAUUUGGACAGAAAGACCCUAUGAAGCUUUACUAUAGCUUGGAAUUGUGUUCGGGCUUCCUGUGCGCAGGAUAGGUGGGAGGCGUAGAAGGUAUUCUUGUGGGGAUACUGGAGCCAACGGUGAGAUACCACUCUCAGGAGGCUAGAAUUCUAACUUAAUUAAGGACAGUUUCAGGUGGGUAGUUUGACUGGGGCGGUCGCCUCCAAAAAGGUAACGGAGGCGUACAAAGGUUCCCUCAGACUGGUUGGAAAUCAGUCGAAGAGUGCAAAGGCAGAAGGGAGCUUGACUGCGAGAAGUACAGUUCGAGCAGGGUGGAAACACGGUCUUAGUGAUCCGACGGUGCUGUGUGGAAGGGCCGUCGCUCAACGGAUAAAAGUUACUCUAGGAUAACAGGCUGAUCUCCCCCAAGAGUUCACAUCGACGGGGAGGUUUGGCACCUCGAUGUCGGCUCAUCGCAACCUGGGGCGGAAGUACGUCCCAAGGGUUGGGCUGUUCGCCCAUUAAAGCGGUACGUGAGCUGGGUUCAGAACGUCGUGAGACAGUUCGGUCCAUAUCCGAUGUAGGCGUGAGAAUAUUGAGAGGAGCCUUCCUUAGUACGAGAGGACCGGGAAGACGCACCGCUGGUGUACCUGUUAUGAUGCCAAUUGUAAACGCAGGGUAGCCAAGUGCGGAGAGGAUAACCGCUGAAAGCAUCUAAGUGGGAAGCCCACCUCAAGAUGAGUAUUCUGGUGUAAGGUCACGGGAAGACGACCCGUAAAUAGGCACGAGGUGGAAGUGCAGAGAUGUAUGAAGCCGAAGUGUACUAAUAGACCGUCGGCUUGACC
rnacentral:rRNA from 1 species